CGCUUGCAUUCCCACCAACGCUGUUGUUAUUUGUUGUCUCAGCGCCUAGUCCGAGUCAGACAAGCAUCCAGCCUGCACUGCGUAGCUAGCUUAAGACUGCUGUAACUCGGAACGCCUGACCGGUGACCGCCGUGUGUAGUCAACACCCAACAGAGGGUGGCUGCUUUUCAAGUAUACUGUGCUUCCUAUCUCAAUGUUUGAGAUAUCCUAUCAUGUUCAUCAGAGACUGCUUGAUUAGUUUAUAUUGAACAUUGAAGCUAAUCCCAGUCAGAGUGAGUGAUUGCUUCUACAAUGUCACGAACUAUAGGCUCGUUCAAAGGGUGCACAUACAGUGCAAGAAUCAAAGGGCUAAAGAUGCUUCAAUUUUCCAAAACUUGGAAAUUUGGAUCCAGCAUACAGAUGAGAAUGAUGCUGAAAAAUGUCCUUAUGACGUGGACUUGAGAUCAAUGGAGAACAAUUCGGAGAUUCGGCCUUCUAUCUGCGGCACAUGUGGCCACAACAAUGCUAAAGAACACUUCUGAUUUGGAGCAUUCUUGGAUAUGAGUUGCUUGACAGCCAACAAAUGAGCAGAGUCGACUCCAGCCAGCAACAACCAUGAGAUGUUGCCAUUGGCCAUGCAACAACCCAAACAACGCAUGACCAACUUCACCCGGCGUGAAGUGGAAGCUCUGCUGGCAGCUGUUGACAAUAGAUGUGAAAUCGUUCUGUCAACCUCUGGCGGUCAGGAGUGGGCCAAGACCUGGCAAGAGAUCGCCCAAGAAGUCACUGCCAUCAAGAGCAUUCGCAGAACAGAGCAUGAAGUUAGAAGGAAGUGGACCUACUUGAAAUGGAAGGCAAACGAUACCAGAAAGCCCCUCGGUUGAAACCCCACAUCCAAGUCUGUUCUGGGAAUACCCAAUGGUGGUGGUCCAGAUGCCUCCACUACCAUUAAAGCUGAGCCACUUCUGCACUGGACCCUGAAGAAGAAAGCGAUAUUGAGAUGCCUACUGGAAAUGAGCCGGUUCCCACAGAAGAUUGUUCAAAGGUAGGAGGUGAUUUCCACAAAUAAGAACUGCUUCUGAAGCCCAGCAGCUCACAGCAAGGUUUACAACUCAGCGGUUGCAAAUGAUACAGCAUAAAUGGAAAGAAGAAGGUGAUGUUAAUCCAGAUAUUCUUGUCCAUACUGGCGAUUCAGGACCAAAAACAGGUAUAAUAGGAUUAGACAAUCAAAGCAAGGCACAUGAAUUCUUUCAUUUUUUCAUCAACAAAGACCUUGUGUCUCGUUAAAAGGAACAAAAAACUUGUAUGCAAAGCAGUAAUUCAGAAAAAGAGGCAACUCAAUUUAAUGAAUCCUAAUAGUCAGUUAGCCACUUGGGAACCUGUUACCAAUGCUGAAAUGUACAAAUUUAUUGGAAUAGUGUUGCAAAUGAGUAUUAGUGAGAGGCCUUCAAUGUUGGAUCACCGUUGUACAAAUGCU